rnacentral:rRNA from 1 species
UACGUAGGCAGCGAGCGUUGUUCGGAGUUACUGGGCGUAAAGGGUGCGUAGGCGGUUGUUUAAGUUUGGUGUGAAAUCUCCCGGCUCAACUGGGAGGGUGCGCCGAAUACUGAAUGACUAGAGUGCGGGAGAGGAGAGUGGAAUUCCUGGUGUAGCGGUGAAAUGCGCAGAUAUCAGGAAGAACACCUAUGGCGAAGGCAGCUCUCUGGGACGGUACUGACGCUGAGACGCGAAAGCGUGGGGAGCGAACAGG